GCGGGUGUAGUUCAGCGGUAGAACGUCAGCUUCCCAAGCUGAAUGUCGCCGGUUCGAUUCCGGUCACCCGCU
rnacentral:tRNA from 1 species